CCAAUAGCGUAUAUUAAAGUUGUUGCAGUUAAAAAGCUCGUAGUUGAAUUUCGGGACCAAUUUGUUGGUCGUGCCUCGGUACGUACUGGUAUUAUUGGUUCCUCCCUUCUGAAGAACCUCGAUGCCAUUAAUUUGGUGUCGUGGGGAAUCAGGACUGUUACUUUGAAAAAAUUAGAGUGUUUAAAGCAAGCAUACGCUUGAAUACAUUAGCAUGGAAUAAUGAAAUAGGACGUUUGAUUCUAUUUUGUUGGUUUCUAGGAUCGACGUAAUGAUUAAUAGGGAUAGUUGGGGGCAUUAGUAUUCAAUUGUCAGAGGUGAAAUUCUUGGAUUUAUUGAAGACUAACUACUGCGAAAGCAUUUGCCAAGGAUGUUUUCAUUAAUCAAGAACGAAAGUUAGGGGAUCGAAGACGAUCAGAUACCGUCGUAGUCUUAACCAUAAACUAUGCCGACUAGGGAUCAGAUGAUGUUAAUUUUUUAAUGACUCAUUCGGCGCCUUACG
rnacentral:rRNA from 1 species